UACGUAGGGUGCGAGCGUUUGUCCGGAAUUACUGGGCGUAAAGAGCUCGUAGGUGGUUUGUCGCGUUGUCCGUGAAAACUCACAACUCAAUUGUGGGCGUGCGGGCGAUACGGGCAGACUGGAGUACUGCAGGGGAGACUGGAAUUCCUGGUGUAGCGGUGGAAUGCGCAGAUAUCAGGAGGAACACCGGUGGCGAAGGCGGGUCUCUGGGCAGUAACUGACGCUGAGGAGCGAAAAGCGUGGGGGAGCGAACAGGA
rnacentral:rRNA from 1 species